CCUACGGGCGGCUGCAGUGGGGAAUAUUGGACAAUGGGCGAAAGCCUGAUCCAGCCAUGCCGCGUGUGUGAAGAAGGCCUUCGGGUUGUAAAGCACUUUCAGUGGGGAAGAAAGCCUUGGGGCUAAUACCCUCGAGGAAGGACAUCACCCACAGAAGAAGCACCGGCUAACUCCGUGCCAGCAGCCGCGGUAAUACGGAGGGUGCGAGCGUUAAUCGGAAUUACUGGGCGUAAAGCGCGCGUAGGCGGUCUGAUAAGCCGGUUGUGAAAGCCCCGGGCUCAACCUGGGAACGGCAUCCGGAACUGUCAGGCUAGAGUGCAGGAGAGGAAGGUAGAAUUCCCGGUGUAGCGGUGAAAUGCGUAGAGAUCGGGAGGAAUACCAGUGGCGAAGGCGGCGUUCUGGACUGACACUGACGCUGAGGUGCGAAAGCGUGGGUAGCAAACAGGAUUAGAUACCCCAGUAGUC
rnacentral:rRNA from 1 species